GACGAACGCUGGCGGCGUGCCUAACACAUGCAAGUCGAACGGGACUUGAGGGGCUUGCUCCUUAAGUUUAGUGGCGAACGGGUGAGUAACGCGUGAGGAACCUACCUUCCAGUGGGGGACAACAGUUGGAAACGACUGCUAAUACCGCAUGAUGCAGCGAGACCGCAUGGUUUUGCUGUCAAAGCUUUAUGUGCUGGAAGAUGGCCUCGCGUCUGAUUAGCUGGUGGGUGGGGUAACGGCUCACCGAGGCGACGAUCAGUAGCCGGUCUGAGGGGAUGAACGGCCACAUUGGGACUGAGAUACGGCCCAGACUCCUACGGGAGGCAGCAGUGGGGAAUAUUGGGCAAUGGGGGAAACCCUGACCCAGCAACGCCGCGUGAAGGAAGAAGGCCUUCGGGUUGUAAACUUCUUUUAGCAGGGACGAAGGACGUGACAGUACCUGCAGAAAAAGCAACGGCUAACUACGUGCCAGCAGCCGCCGUAACAC
rnacentral:rRNA from 1 species